rnacentral:ncRNA from 1 species
GUAGGAGAGUGUCAUAUUGCCCCCUCACGAAGUAAUUCGCGAGUGCGCAUCGGGUGAAUUCAAGGAAACCUAAGUUCUAUGAAUAUGGCAAUCUUGAGCCAAGCCGAGGGAAGUCGCUUGUGUACCUCGGAAGGUGCAACGCAUAGGCAGUGCGGACGAUAACCAAUAACCUGCCCACGAGCGCCCGACAUCCCCUUGCGGAUGAUGAUAUAUGCUGAACUGCAUGGAAACAUGUAG